rnacentral:rRNA from 1 species
AAUGAACGCUGGCGGCGCGCCUAAUACAUGCAAGUCGAGCGAGAAGACGUAGCAAUACGUUUGUAAAGCGGCGAACGGGUGAGGAAUACAUGGGUAACCUACCCUCGAGUGGGGAAUAACUAGCCGAAGGUUAGCUAAUACCGCGUACGCUUCUUGGACUUCGGUUCAGGGAGGAAAGCGAUGCCGAGGGUAUCGCGCUCUUGGAUGGGCUCAUGUCCUAUCAGCUUGUUGGUGAGGUAACGGCUCACCAAGGCUUCGACGGGUAGCUGGUCUGAGAGGACGAUCAGCCACACUGGCACUGCGACACGGGCCAGACUCCUACGGGAGGCAGCAGUAAGGAAUAUUGCGCAAUGGGCGAAAGCCUGACGCAGCGACGCCGCGUGGGGGA